AGCGAACGCUGGCGGCAGGCCUAACACAUGCAAGUCGAACGGAUCCUUCGGGAUUAGUGGCGGACGGGUGAGUAACACGUGGGAACGUGCCCUUUGGUUCGGAACAACUCAGGGAAACUUGAGCUAAUACCGGAUGUGCCCUUCGGGGAAGGAUUAUCGCCAUUGGAGCGGCCCGCGUCUGAUUAGCUAGUUGGUGGGGUAAAGGCCCACCAAGGCGACGAUCAGUAGCUGGUCUGAGAGGAUGAUCAGCCACAUUGGGACUGAGACACGGCCCAAACUCCUACGGGAGGCAGCAGUGGGGAAUCUUGCGCAAUGGGCGAAAGCCUGACGCAGCCAUGCCGCGUGAAUGAUGAAGGUC
rnacentral:rRNA from 1 species